AUUGAACGCUGGCGGCAGGCCUAACACAUGCAAGUCGAGCGAGCGGCGGACGGGUGAGUAAUGUCUGGGAAACUGCCUGAUGGAGGGGGAUAACUACUGGAAACGGUAGCUAAUACCGCAUACCAUCUGAUGUGCCCAGAUGGGAUUAGCUAGUAGGUGGGGUAACGGCUCACCUAGGCGACGAUCCCUAGCUGGUCUGAGAGGAUGACCAGCCACAAUGGAACUGAGACACGGUGCAGACGCCUAAGAGAGGCAGCAGUGGGGAAUAUUGCACAAUGGGCGCAAGCCUGAUGCAGCCAUGCCGCGUGUGUGAAGAAGGCCUUCGGGUUGUAAAGCACUUUCAGCGAGGAGGCGUUACUCGCAGAAGAAGCACCGGCUAACUCCGGGCCAGCAGCCGCGGUAAUAC
rnacentral:rRNA from 1 species